UUGCUGGCCCCCUUGGGGGUACGUGCACGCUUGUCAUCUUUACUUCUCCAACUGUGCACAUGCUGUAGAUCUGGGAGCCCUUUUUAUUCUUGAAUAGAUCGAGGAUUGCUGCACUCGAGUGUCGGCUUUGCCUUGCGUUUCCAGAUCUAUGUUUUCUUCACAAUCUCAGAAUGUGUCUAGAAUGUUGAAUUGGAUGAUAAUAAUAUACAACUUUCAGCAACGGAUCUCUUGGCUCUCGCAUCGAUGAAGAACGCAGCGAAAUGCGAUAAGUAAUGUGAAUUGCAGAAUUCAGUGAAUCAUCGAAUCUUUGAACGCAUCUUGCGCUCCUUGGUAUUCCGAGGAGCAUGCCUGUUUGAGUGUCAUUUGAGUUCUCAAACCAUGCUGAUUUCAUUGGCAUGGCUUUGGAUAUGGGGGUUUUUGUUUGCAGGCUUCUGAAAAUUGAAGUCAGCUCCCCUGAAAUUCAUUAGUGGUAUCUGAGCAGAGACUACUUACAGGUGUGAUAAUCAUCUAUCUACGCCUCGGUAUGCUGCAUGAAACAGAUUGCACCGCUCAUAACGAGUGAAAUAUUUGACAAGUUUGACCUCAAAUCAGGUAGGACUACCCGCUGAACUUAAGCAUAU
rnacentral:rRNA from 1 species